GGGUUUGUUCUAUCACUCAUCACUUUAAAAGGCUUAUGAAUCCGCAGUCAAAACCAACAGGAGCCAGGCAUUCGCGGUGCACACCUGUAAUCUCAGCACUUGGGAGGCUGAGGCAGGAGGAUCGCCACUAGUUCAAGGCCAGCUUGGGCUCCAUAGUUCAAGGGUGGUCUGAACUAUGUGGCAAGACCCCCGUCUCAAAGAAGAGUUCAAGGCCAGCCUGAACUGCAAAGCAAAACCCUGCCUCAAAAGGCCCCCCUAAAAAAUUAAAGAAAAAAAAAAACAAACAAACCAAAAAACCCUCAGACAACAACAACAAGAACAAAGCUCCAGAGGGUGUAUUGGAUAUAUCUCUCCUGAAAUGUUGUCUCUGGGCUCUCCAAGUGGACCCCAGGAUACGCACUGUCUUGGAACGGCCUCAGAAGGGAAACGGCUGCCGUCUCCUCGUGGGCCAAAUGUCAGCAAAUUCUUCAGCAGCUAACGGACACCCAGCCUUGGGGACUGGGGCUCCCAGGGUUCCAGCCGGGGACCUGACACACGUGCUGUCUCUCCCCUCUCUGGAGCCGACCUGGGAGGGCCACGCCCCGUGAUCCUUCCAGUCAGCGGUCCAGGUGUCGGGACUGGAGUCCUUGGCACACCGGUCCUGCCUGGCCUCACCGGCGGAAGCCUGACAUUCCCGAAAACAGAACCCGCCCCCUGCGUGCUGCUGUGAGCCCAUGGGAGACCUGAACCUCCACUGAAGAAGGAGAAGGUCGCUUCCUCAUGUAAGUGACGCCAGCCUGUUGAUUGUCCUGGUCAUGGUGGCCUCUCUCAUACAAACCGUGCAGGGAGAACGUCGCUCCUUCUUAGCCCAGGAGCACAGCGAGGCGGAUCGCGGGGAAGCACGCCGGGUCUGCGAUUCCCUCCAGCACCCAGCACUCAGGACGCCGGGUGGGUGCCCCCUCCAGGGACACGGCUGGAGCCGGUCGCGUGAUCUCGCUGAGAGGACGCAUCCCACCAAGGCAACUGAGUGGCCCGUCCAUUCCAGGCCCAGGCGCAAGCAGACAGCGGCGGCCAUGUGGUCACUGGCUGAGCCCCGGCCGAGCCCCGGUUGUCCAAGUCCUCGGGUCACAGCCUUGUCACAGACCGAACAAUCGAAGAUAUCAAUCGGAUAUUUUCCAGCGUGGGACAGCUGUGUACGGCCAGUCUCUUCCAGACCCUUCUGCCUCAGCCUUCUAAGUGGCUCCUGCCAGUUUUUUGCAAGAUGUUUUCAAGUUGCAAGCUGGGGUUGUUCCAGGCUGCUCAGAGAAUUAUUCCUGUUCUUGGAUCUGCCUGGCCACUUUGGUGAUGAAUACAAUUGAUUAGCCUAAAAGGAAAGUGUAGAUCAGUGGUAGCUGUCUCUCAUGUAAUUCUGUAGAAAUGUGGUAUUGUAAGGGUCCUGCUGCUCCAGGGCACAUCCCUACCUUCCUGCAACGGGCUGACAGAGUUUUCAGCUUUGGAGACCAGGUUGUUGCUCAGGUCACUACUCUUAUCCUAGAGGAAAAGCUACUGCAGGUAGAAUGAAUGUUCACGGCUGGGUGCCAAUAAAACUUUAUUCAAACAGGCACUGGAGCUAGGUGCAGUACCACAUGCCUGUAAUCCCAGCAUUCUGAGAGGCUGAGCCAGGAGGAUUGCAAGUUUGGAUAUCUUAGUGAGACCCUCAAAAAAUAAAAAGGGCUGGGUAUAUAGCUCAGUGUGAAGCCACUGUGUUCAACUCCCAGUACCAAAACACCACCCAAAACCCAGAACCCCAAAAUCAGGUGCAGCAUUUGGCCAGAGGGCUGGAAUUCACUGACCUCUGUCUGGCCAUGGCCAGGAAAACGCCAGCCCCACUCCAGGAGUCAUUUGAGCAGGCAGCCACUAGGUGGCAGCAGGGAGCCGGCUCCCAGGUCCCCAGUGUCUCCCACAGCGGGGGCAGCCCAGCAUGGCCGAGGCACCUGUCAGGAUGAAGUGGCUCUGACUCGCACACCUGUGCUCCCAGCAGGAUGCUCCACAGCAGACUGAAGGUGGAAACGACCCAGUGUCCACCCACCGGUGGAGGGGAACAAGAGGAGUCUGUCUGCACACUGGAGCACGAUGCAGCCAGGAAAAGGAAGUCCACAGCCUGGUUGGACCUUGAGGCCGGGCUGCUCAGGAGCCUAGCCAGACAUAGAAGGUCACACACUGCAGGGUCCCUCUCCCAGGACGGCCCUGUGUGGUCAGAGCCACAGAGAUGGAAGACGGGGACGCCGGGCUGGGGCAAGGAAUGGGGGUCAGCAUUUCCUGGGUGGAGGCUCAGCUGAGGGAGGUGAGAGAGGCCUGGAGGUGGAGGAGGGCUACGGGCUGGGUUUUCCCUUGCCAAAUUCAUUUGCUGAAACUCCAGCCCCCGGGUGAUGGUGCUGAGAGGUGAGGGCUUGGAAGAUUUUUUGUGUGUACAUUAUUGAGGGUUGAGUCCAGGGCCUUUGCAUUUGGCUACAUCUCCAGCCUUGUUCUUUUUUUCUUUUUGAGACAGGGUCUCACUAUGUAGUUCAGGCUGGCCUUGAGUUCACUUUGUAGCCCAGGCUGUUCUUGAACUUGCAAGGAUUCUCCUGCCUCAGCCUCCAGAGUGCUGGGAUUACAGGUGUGUGCCACCAUGUCCAGCUCUCCAGCUCUUUUUAUUUUAUUUAUUUAUUUCAAUUUAAAAAAAGAGUCUAGUUAAGUUAUCAAAUUGCCCAGGCGGAGCUCUGCCUUGCGAUCCUCCUGCCUAAGCCUCCCAAGUAGCUGGGAUGCCAGGCACCCAGCACCUUUGGAGGGAGUUAGAGUCAUAUGGGAAGUGCCCCUCCUCCAUUAGUGCCUCUGUAAGAAGUGGGAGAGGCCAGAGCUCGCCCUCCCUACUACAAGAGGACGGAGCCAGCAGGUGGCGUCCACAGCACAGAAGCUGGUCCUCCGCAGGAACUUGGCUCAGGCCACCCUGAUCUUGUGGGCUUCUGGGCUCCAGAAUUGACAAAUAAAGGUUCGUGGUUUCAGCCCCAGCUGGGGGUCCUGUCGCAGCACCCAAACAGAGCUGCUGGUGGAGACUUGCACAGCACCAAGGAUGUGCUUAAGGCUGCUCGAGUGGGCACUCAAAAACGCCAAAGAUGGUCAGUUUGAAUUUACAUAUAUUUUGUCACAAUAAAAAAAAAAUUGGUGUUGGGCACAGUGGCACAUGCUUGUGAGCAUAGCCCUCAGGGAGGCUGAGGCAGGAGGGCUGCAAGUUCAGAGUCUUUUUGCUGAGCUAUAUCCCCAGCCUCUUUGUUAUGUUUUAUUUUAGGACCUUGGCUGAGUUGCCAAGGAUGGCUAUAGAAUCCAGGCUGGCCUUGAGCUCCCAGUGAUCCUCCUGCCUCAGCCUCCUGAGUGCUGGGGUGUCAGGCGUGUGCCACGACACACGGCUUCAGUUGUCAUUGUUCAGAGUGACCCACAAAUGUGUACACUGGCUCUCAGAUUGAGAGUGGGCCAUCCCGUGUGUGCACUACCGGGCAUGGCCUCUGCCACAGAGCUGGAAUUUUGGGCCCAUCCUGGACUUGUGACCAGGACUGGUUUGUGCCUGGUGGUUCCCAGCCCUAAUCUCCAGGUCAAGAAAAUGCUGGUUGCUGACUGAGCCCUUUCCUGCUGCCUCAGCGGAAUCUGGCCUGUCAGUUCUGCCUGCAGGAUGAAGCGUGGCAGCAGGUGGCCCAGCCUGCUGGAAAGCUCCGUGCUGGGCAGAAGGCCUCAUGGUCACAGUGUGCAGAGAUCGGGGGCAGGGAGGGGGCAGGCAAGGAGUGGGACCUGGGGAACUGUAUUUGCCCACUCUGUGUUAGUCUAAUUAAAUGCUGAGACUGGAUCCUCUUAGAGAGGAGAAAAGGUUAGUGUGCGCCUGUCAUCCCAGAUCCUUAGGCGGCUGAGGCAGGCGAAUCUCAACGAUGCAGAAGGUGUGAACUAGCUGGGCCUAUGUGUGGUGGUGCAUGCUUGUAAUCCCAGCAUGCGGGAGGCUGGGGCAGGAGGAUCCUUGCAAGUUCGAGGCCAGCCUGGACUACAAAGUGAGCUCAAGGUCAGCCUGAACUGCAUAGUGAGACCCUGUCUCAAACACACACACACACACACACACACACACACACACACACACACACGGUGCAAACUCAAUCU
rnacentral:lncRNA from 1 species